rnacentral:rRNA from 1 species
ACCGCGCAUGGGUGACCGCGAGUUAUUAGCCGCAAGUAAACAAGAGUACUCCGGUUUCCUAGCGUCUGGUAUACGAUUCUACUAAAUGGAUAUGUCAAGAUCUCCUUCUGAAUUUCGCAAGCAUCCAGGCUUUCAAUAGGAUAUCAUAGCAGUAUCGUCGGUGUUCUGUUGGCGUUGGGUUGUUAGGCGAGAGGGACGGAGGGCGUGCUCCCUCCCUCCAAUCUUCUUCCCUUCUUUUUCAUCUUUCUCUUGUGCUGUGUGCCAAGCCAGACCCAUACAUACACCCAACCCAACCCACCAAUCACUGCCAGCAGCGACGACGGAGUGAGGGAAGCAAGCACGGAAGGAACGCUCGGAUGGCGAUGGGAACGGCUGUGCGGGAGGCGGCGGCGGACGGCGUCGUGACCUUCCUCUGGGUGCUCUGCGUCUCCACGCUCGGCGCCUCCACGGCCGCCGUCACCACCUACCUCAGCCUGCACGAGGGGAUCCACUACGCCCUCCUCGUCACCGUCUCCAUCCUCGCCCUCCUCCUCUUCGCCUUCAACCUCCUCUGCGACGCCCUCGGCGGCGCCAGCUUCAACCCCACCGGCGUCGCCGCCUUCUACGCCGCGGGCCUCACCAGCCCCUCGCUAUUCUCCAUCGCGCUCCGCCUACCAGCGCAGGCCGCCGGAGCCGUGGGCGGAGCUCUGGCCAUCUCCGAGCUGAUGCCGGAGCAGUACAAGCACAUGCUCGGCGGACCCUCGCUCAAGGUGGAUCCCCACACCGGCGCCGUCGCUGAAGGGGUGCUCACCUUCGUCAUCACCUUUGCCGUCCUCUGCAUCAUCGUCAAGGGACCCCGCAACCCCAUCGUCAAGACAGCGAUGCUCUCAGUCUCCACCGUCAGCCUCGUCCUCACCGGCGCCGCGUACACCGGCCCCUCCAUGAACCCUGCCAACGCCUUUGGUUGGGCGUAUGUUAACAAUCUGCACAACACCUGGGAGCAGCUGUACGUGUACUGGAUAUGCCCCUUCAUCGGUGCCAUUCUCGCUGCGUGGACCUUCAGGGCCGUGUUCCCGCCACCGGCCCCUAAGCCCAAGACCAAGAAAGCAUGAUGAACUCAAGCACAAACUUUGACUUAGCAAUUGGGGGACCUGAAGAAGGGAACAUGGUUUGCUAGGGAAUAAUUUGGAAGGCCUGUAUUUAAUCCCCUCAACAUUACAUCGAUGUUUAACUUAAAAGUGAUAAUUUAUCAGUCAUUCAUGUUUACCAUGUGCUUUAUAUUUAUCUUUUUUUAGAGUUUGUAAAAUUGAUUUUAUAGAGCGGUUAUUAGAUAAAGAGGUGAUAGGCGGGAAAUAAUUCAUGCAAAUGCUGAGCUUGGUUUAUUUUGAGGACCUUUUUUCUCUAGAGGCGGACCUGAGUUGGAUCAUGAUUCAUGACAAGGAAGUGAACCUGCCAUGCCUCUCAAAACUCGAAAGCGAUCGUUGCUGAUGAUUUGGCAUACUCUAUUUACCCAAAAGACAAUUUUUGCUUUUGUUUUGCUGUCAAAUUGAGCUCCGCGUAUCCUGAUUUGCUUUACAAUUCAACUUUAUUGUUCUGGUCACCGCAAAAGAAAAGAAAAAAUUCAUUGUUUUGGGUCCAAGGUGUAGAAGCAUUGAUGGAAAAGAAGGCGAAAAACAUCAAAUUUGAUAAUUCCAAAUCCUCUAAAAUCGUGAGCAAGAACAAACAUGGAGAAAUUCCGUCUGACGGAAUGGAACCUUUUUGAGGGAAUAUUUGGAAAUCUUGGGCUAUGACUUGGCAAAAAGAAAUUUUGAUAAUUUCUUCAGCAUGGGGAAUAUCUAAAAAGCAAUGAAACCGGUACUGGUUUUAUUCAACCGGUAAACCCAAGUCAAUGUUUUGUUCUUGUUUAUUUAUUGGCUCUCUGAACGAAGGUCUGGUCUCCUGCUGCAAGUCUAGUCUACUCUCCUCUGUUUUUUCUUUUCCAGCAGCGAGCGGGUUGGGCAGACCCCACCGUCACAUCACAUCACACUUCACUCUUUUCCUUCCUUUACUCUUCGCUACGCUCCAUGGGCUAGAAUCUCUCUCUCUCUCUGCCAUCAUCACACUUGACAUUUUGACAAGAGAGAAGAGAAGCAGCAGAGAGCUAGAGCUAGAAGACGGAGGAGGAGGAAUCCAUGGGGAACAUCCUGAAGUGCUUCAGGGGAGACGACGAAGAAGAAGAAGACCACUACCCCUACUACCGUCCAGGCUCCAGGCCCCACUACCCCCAGCAGCAGCAGCAAGCUGAUGGCCAUGGCGUCGCCUCCCUGGCGCACGACCUCCUCAACUUUGAGAGCGCGUCCAUGGUUCCUGAAGGGCUCAGGCAGCAUGUUACGGCGUCCAAGAAAGCACAGAUUAAAUGGUACCAGAAUAUGUUGGAGGCAUAUAAGAAUGCGAGAACCCCACCGAGAACACCGGAAGAGGCUGCACAACUAGUUGUAUCAGCCCUAAACUGGAUCCAGAGUGCUGAUUUGGAGGGUAUCCUCGAAUUCUACAACUUCCCCAUCCCAUCACUACCUGCAGCAUCCUCAAACCACCGUCCAUCCUCGCUGCCAGAGGGCGUGCAGUUUGUCUUGAAUACUUUGCCGGUUAAUAACCAAAACAUUGGAGAUGGCGAUGGCUUUACCGCUUAUGUUGCCACAACCGAUCCGAGGGAGUCUGGCAAUGUUCCUAUAGAAGUACAUGAGAUGGUGAUUGCGAGGACUGAAGCACGCAAUCGUAGGGAUUACAAGAGUGCCGAUGCACUUCAAAGUAGCCUUAAAGAAGCUGGAUACAAGAUAAUCAUCUGUUCAGACGAAGAGAUCCUAGCAAGGAAAUACCGAAUCAGAAUGAGGGGAAUUGACGCACCAGAACUUAAGAUGACAUAUGGAAAGGAAUCAAAGAGUGCUUUGGUGAAGCUCAUUGGUGGGAAAAGAACCACAAUUCAUGUGUAUGGGCAGGACCAGUUUGAUCUCUAUGUUGGUGAUGUCUAUUGCAAUGGUGUGUUCAUCCAGGAGAAAAUGCUGAAGAAUGGUCACGCAUGGCAUUUUACGACCUAUGACAAGCGCCCAGAGUUUGCUAAAUGGGAGAGAGAGGCAAGAGCUGCACAGCGAGGGCUCUUUGCCUCACUCAACCCUGAGAAGCCGUGGGACUGGCGAAGAGAGCAGCGCAAUGGUGGCAUUCAGGUCUACUAAUGGCUCCAUCCAUGAUCCAUCCAUGUCUCGAACUAAUGGUCGGAAAGGUGUGUAUAGUUUGGUAACUAGGGUGGAUCUUGAUCAGCAUCACCAUGCUGCAAACUAAAUGUGCAGUAUGUUUAUGUAUGCCGCGAGAGUAAUGCUUUCUAAUUCGGCCUAUGGCCAAGACUCCUAAACCUUCUUCUUAAUCAAUGAAAAUGACAAAUCUUUU